GCCAAAGUGGGGCGGGGAGUGGGAUGAGGGGGAGGGGGGGAGUCGUGCGCUUCGCCCUCCCCUGUGUUGGUGUCUCUGCGCCUCAAAAGGGGAUGGAAGUGUGUGGGGAGUCGGUCGGAAGAGGACGCGGAGGAGCACUCCGCGUCUCUGAAGUUGCUCGCCCCCUCGCGCGAAGGAACAUAAAUUGGAGAGAAGACAUGCCCACCACGCCUGGAUCCUCCGGACUGUGUAAUUACGCUUGGAAACUACAUCCCCAAAAAGUAGGGGGGCGGAAACUAGUUCAAAAUUAGAUGUACUAUUAGAAACAUGAAGUCAGAAAACCUUGUCAUGAACAUGAAGACACUUUGAAUCCGCAAAUCACAGAGAAGAAUAUACCAUCAAAGUAGUACCUUAAAGAACUUCUUGAUUUCCCUCAGAAAUUGAAUCUCUUGCAUAUAUUUCUUUAAUGCCAACUAAGCUAUACAUACAUUUACUUAUUUAUUGUUUAGUGUCUAUCAAAUCUGAAGGAUGAGAGACUUAAUCUGUGAAUAUUUUUUCUUCUCAAUGUAAGGUUUUGUAACAUGUACCUUGGAGUAUAACUUCCAGAAAAUCCCUAAAAUUUACCUGAAAAUUAAAUAUUUCAAUAUCACAUAACAGGACAA